UUGGAGGGCAAGUCUGGUGCCAGCAGCCGCGGUAAUUCCAGCUCCAAUAGCGUAUAUUAAAGUUGUUGCAGUUAAAAAGCUCGUAGUUGAAUUUCGGGAUUAGUACGUUGGUCGUGCCUUCGGUACGUACUGGUGUUACUGAUUCCUACCUUCUGACGAACCAUCAUGUCAUUAAUUUGGUGUGGCGGGGAAUCAGGACUGUUACUUUGAAAAAAUUAGAGUGUUUAAAGCAGGCUCGCGCUUGAAUACAUUAGCAUGGAAUAAUGAAAUAGGACGUUGACCCUAUUUUGUUGGUUUCUAGGAUUGACGUAAUGAUUAAUAGGGAUAGUUGGGGGCAUUAGUAUUCAAUUGUCAGAGGUGAAAUUCUUGGAUUUAUUGAAGACUAACUACUGCGAAAGCAUUUGCCAAGGAUGUUUUCAUUAAUCAAGAACGAAAGUUAGGGGAUCGAAGACGAUCAGAUACCGUCGUAGUCUUAACCAUAAACUAUGCCGACUAGGGAUCGGAUGAUGUUAUUUUUAAUGACUCAUUCGGCGCCUUACGGGAAAC
rnacentral:rRNA from 1 species